rnacentral:snRNA from 1 species
UUGCUUCAGGCAGCACAUAUGCUAAAAUUGGCAUGAUACAGAGAAGAUUAGCAUGGCCCUGAGCAAGAAU